AGACUAUUAAUGCCGUGUGAGUGAGGACAGGCGCGUGGUGGAGUUGUUGGUGUUGACAGGAAGCUGUGUGGGGCGCACGGUUUCAGUGUCACGCCUUGUCGUCCUUCUUUGGCCUGAGCUGAAGGUCUCGCCGCUGGGGAUGUGACUUCCCCGCCUCUGCUCCAGGUCGCCACUGCUGUUUGGAGUCGUGAUCGUGUGCCAAGUUUCCCAGGUGGUGGUGUCCACAUCCGUGAUGUUCACUUCGGUCACUUGAUUAAGAUGUUGUAUGCGAGGUUUCCGCACUGUAAGGUGAGUAUUUUCCCUUUGUAAUUAGUAAGCAUCUUGUAAGGAGAUACUCUGAGACUCCGCAAAUAUCCUGUUUCUUGUAUUUCUUUGCCUACUGAUUUACCAUCCAUUGAUGUGUCGACACAAAUAAUUCAUAGUCAAUCUAUAGAUCAGAAUUGGGGUGAGUUUAUUACGAGCCAGGUCUCCUUUAUCCAACCACUCCCCGUGGAUGGCCGUGAGCAUCUAGGCAGCUUCUAAUAGUUUGCAAUUACAGACAAUGCUGCAAUGAAUAACAUUGUGCAUAUUCAUUCUGUAUUCUUGGAGAUUUAUCUUCAGAGUAGAUUCCUGAAAGUGAGAUUGCUGAGGCAAAAGUUUAACGCAUAUAAGUUUUUAAGUAUUGUCAAGUUCCUUCCUGAAGGGUUGUACCCAUCUUCGUCCCCCCAGCAGUGUGUGGGGGUGUUUCCCGCAGCCUUGCUAGCAGAAUGCUCGCGCUCUCUAGUCUGCCAGUCUGAUAGGUAAGAAAUGGUGUCUCAGUGUCGUUUUAAUUUACAUUUCUCUAACUACAUUUUGAAAAAUAUAUUUAAGGGCCAUUUAAUAUUUUGGGGGUGAAUUGUUUCUUCUUCGCCCCCUUUUACGGGGUUUGUGGCCCUUUCUCCUGUGGUUCCCCAGAGCUCCUUACCUGUUGGUGUGUCUGCUGCGCAUACUGUCCCAGUUUACCGGUUGUCUUUGCCUUUGUUUAUGGGGUUUUGCUGUGCGUCCUGUUUGUUUUAUGUGGGCAGAUGAUCGGUCUUUUCUUUUGUUGCCUCUGUACUUUAACUCGUCGUGUCUACACUGAGAUUGAAGAGGAAUUUACUCUUAUUUUCCUCUAGUUCUUGUAUAGUUUUGUUUUUGCACUUAGCUAUCUGAUACAUGGAUUUAUUCCUUUGUGUGACAUGAAAUGCAGAUCUAAUUUUAUGUUUUUUUCCAAGUGGCUGCCCAGUUGUCCUGGCACCACUUAAGAAAAGUCCAUCUUUGCCCCAGGGAGUUGAGACGUCACUUUUAUCAGGUACUAAAUCGCAUGAAGUCACCUUUAAAAAUCCAUCUUUGCUCUCGUUGUGCUUGGUCAUGGUGUGGUUGGUCUCAUGCUGUCUGUUCAUUGCCUGAGGGCCCAGAUUCGUGCUUGUUCUUCUGAAAGAAUAACUACCGCACCAAUAAUCUUGAAAGCCAGAGGAACUCACCUUCUGGCCAUGUAUGUAUGAAACACUGUCACCUGAACUGAACCCACAGCUCUGAGACGCUGCCCCUCGGGAAGACGCUGCGGUGUCUGUCUGCUCUGGACGAAGCUUCCUCCGUGAGUCUCGGGCUGCUCUGGAAGCACUGUGUGGAAAGCUUGAGCAUCGGCCUCCUGAGCACCGGCUCUGACAAGGGUCCUUGUUGGUUCCUUGAAUGUUUCCUGAGUUCAGCCGCUGGAUCCAGGUUGGCGUUCUGUGAUGCUGUGAUUACUGCCAGAGCAGAGUCAUCAGAAUUAUGAGGCAGGUUAACUUUCGUGGGCACCUACGCCCCGAGUACAGAGUUGCCAGGUGACAAUGAGAUCCCAUUAAAAUCUGGAAUCUGGGAACUAUGUCCAGAUGCUGUCCUUCCAGAAAGACUUCACACUGAUGUGAGGAGGAGCCGUCCUGCAGAGUCCUCCCGUCUUCGCAGCAAACGGGGAGCUGUCUGGAGGAGUAGAACAUGGGGCUGAUGCAACACGGGCCUUUUUGAUGGGUCUGCGGGUCUGGCUUUGCUUACAGAGACCGCAUUCUGGGGCUUCAGGUUUCAGAGCACGUGGAAAGUGACAGAAAGCCAGAAGAGUUUUAAUUUCUUGUCUUCAUUUUUCCCUUUUAUUUUAAUACUGACUCAUUUUAAAGUGGAGGAGAAACAUGUAGUGAAAAAUGAAGCUGUGGCUUCUCUUACAGUGACUUUUUCUUUUACAGACAUGUUAUUCAUGCGCCUUACCUCCAGGGGGAGCAAGAGGGUUAUGGUUAAGUAGCAAGAAUUCGUGAAGACGCAUUCUCCGCUCCGCUCCCCUGCCUCCCGUCCCCUCCUCUUCCCUCCCCUCCCCUCCCCUCCCCUCCUCUCUCUUUCACCCUUCCUAUAUAAACAGUAGAUUUUGAAGAAUCACAUGCUCUUCACCAUUUUCCAUUUCCCUGGUUUCUUGAGGUGACAUCCGCAUAGGUCUCCAGAAGCCCUCAGAGGCUCCUCUGUCUUCUGGUCGUCAGCCUGCCUUCCCUUCUGGUGCAGGAGGUGCCCGCUCUUUCAGAAGCUGACUCUGAAGGAGCCCAGAGGGACGUCUGUUUCAGCAGGUGGGGCUGUUUCUCUGUAAAUACCAUUAGCCCCUUCACCCCAUGGCUCCACUCUGCCCUUCCUGCAUUAAGUUAGCGAGGACUACACAUUCUUUUUUCCUAUUCUAUCCUGCAACAAAAACGUUAGAGUGUAUGGCCAGAAACGAAACCGUAGGUCCUUUUGAAGAGAGCCCCCAGUCCAGGUGGCUUCUGGGCUGGUCCUUUGUUGAUGGAAUAGUCAGAGUUAUUCUGGAGCCCAGUUUCUUGUUGGUCUCCCACUGGCACAGGGAGUUUCUCCACGAUGACAGAUCCCAAAUAAAUAUUUGCUACUUUCUCUGGGAUAAAAGCCUGUACAAAAAUGAUGCCCUAAUUCUAGCACAUACAUUUUUUCUCUCCUCUGUGGCUAAUGCUCAAAUAGGGAUGGGUUUGUGGUGCCUGAGUUGUACACUGCAUCUGAGAGCUUGGCUCGAGGUGGGUGGGGUCAGUCAGGACUUUUGCUCUGUCCUGAGUGGGUGGCCUGCAGGAGCCCCAGGCCUGGUGCAGUCUGUGCACACGCUGAGCACCAUCUGUAUGCUACUGGCUCCCCGAUUUUUGUCAUCAUCUCAGACCUCCCUUCUGAGUGGCCUGUUGGAUGUUAUCACUUGAUGUCUGAUUGGAAUUUCAAAUCAACCAGGUGCAAAACAGAAUCCUGGGCGUUGCCCACCCAAACCUGUUUCUUCCCAUCUUCCCAUUCCAGUAAAAUGGACCAUCUGUCUGUUAGUCACUAAGAAGUCAUUCUUGGGUCCCCAUUUUCUUCACCCCCUACCUUCUAAUCCGUCAGCCAGUUCCACGAGUUCUACUUCUGAAAUGUUUCCUCCACCUGCCUACAUUCCCUCUCCCCCUGCUCUCUACUGCACCUCUCCGGACAGCAGGCUUCCCUUCUCUCCCACCUGACCAUUAAGGCAGGUUCCUUCCUAACAGGUGGAAUGAUGGCAGUGGUUUGGAAAGAUUUAAUGUGCUUUUCUCCUUUUCCCCGAAGGUACCUGCUCAGAGAGGGGAUAAAAGAAUGCGAACCGAAAGAAAGAGUUAAGGUUUGGCUUCUGAUGUUCAAAAAUCCGUUUCUACAGAAAGACAGUAGGCUUGAAAGGUAGUCUUUGUAGGGAAAGAAAGGGUCUUAUAAAUUUGUUUUUUGGGUUUUUUUUGAGGGAGAUUAGCCCUGAGCUAACGUCUGUUCCCGUCUUCCUCUAUUUAGUAUGUGGGAUGCUGCCUCAGCAUGGCUUGAUGAGCGGUGCAUAGGUCCGCGCCCAGGAUCCAGACCGGCAAACCUGGGGCUGCUGAAACAGAGCACGUGAACUUGACCACUUGGCAUGGGGCCUGCCCCUAUACAUGUUUUUAGUUCUCUUUUAUGUAGCAAGGAUCAGGACUGCAAGAUUAGAUGAUAAAUUUCUGCCCUAACGUAUGAAAUAUACUCUUAACCACUGAUGCUCAGUGGUGAGGCUGGAGUUGAGAAGACGGGGCUGUGGUCACGAAGCCUGCACUUCUGCCCAGAUAGACUUUCGGAGGAGGGAGACAGGAAGCAGACAGAGGAGGAGGUGGUGAGUCAGGGCCCCUGGUCUUCCCUCAGGGCUGCAACCAGAGACAGGUCUUAAAUACCUGGAGGGACACGGAGCAGAGGGCCCCUUCCUGGCUUCCCAUCUGGGGACAUCUCCUGGAGGCUCUGGGAGGGGCCUCUUGGCCAACCUGGAGGGUAACCAUGUGAAAAUGAAUUCAGAGAGGUGGUCAGGGGGCGUGAGGGUCUGUUUGUAUCCCCAAGCCUUCCUCUGUUCUCCGAAGCCCGAGCCAGGAGUGGGAGCCUGUGAGGUGGCAGGGGCUUGAGUGAGUGCCUCCUGGCUGCAGCUGGCUUCCUGCCUGCACCCUUACUGGUCCCGCAGCCCUGCCCCACGCAGCAGGCAGAGCAGAGCAGGCCUGAGCCGUGUGAGGCUCUGGCAUGUCUCCAUCGGGACCUCCCAAAGGCUUCCCACGAGCCAGGACGAAGCAUCAGAACCUCACCAUGGUGAACGAGGCCCAUGACCUGGGCCUCUUCGUGCUGCCCCGUGCUGUACUUUGUCGUCUGAGCCCCAGCACGUAGCCCUUUUCUUCCCUGGACGAGCUCUGCUCUGCCCCGUCUCAGGCCUUGCACCUGAUGGGUGCACCUGUGGUAGUGGUGGUGAUGAGAAUGAUGUGAUGAGGAAGGUGAUGGUGGUGGUGGUGGUGAUGAUGAUGGCAGUAGUGGUGGUGACAAGAAUGAUGAUAGUGAUGAUGAAGGUGGUGGGGAUGAUGGUGAUGGUGCUGUUUUAAAGAACGUUGAGCUCCAGGGAGAACUAAAGGAAAUGGAAAAUAAAACCCAACCUUUCUACAGUGCUUUCACCUAUGUUUUCUCAUUUCACCUUCCUAACAAUCCUAUGAAAUGUGUAUUAUUACCAUUCCCGUUUUAGAGGAGGAACUUGAAACCAAAGUGAUUUCUCAACCAUUGGCAAGCAAAGCAGGUGGUAAGCAUUUAGUCCACUCUUUACGUGGAAGUAUUUUUAUGUGAAAAUAUUUUUGUGGCAUAUAUUAGGCAUUAAACAGAUUUGAAAAACAUAGCCAAUUUCUUAAGAUUAAAAUAAAAUCCUUCAUGCCGCGUUAUUGUUAAGUGUAUUAGAAAGAAUGAGUUGAUCUAUAUUAACUUGGAGAGAGUCCUAAUUUGUUGUUGUUCUUGUUGCCUUAGGAGGGAGACGAAGAUGCAGAUAAAUGGAUGCAGUAGGUUCCAUUCUCAUUAAACGAAUGUUGAACAUAUUGGCCUCUGGCUUCCAGUUUCUUCUGGCUGUGCUGCUCAGUUUCAGAGAUCGGCAGGUGGAAGGAGAGAGAGGUUGGGGUUACCCCCCACACCGGUCCCUUCCCUCCUCGCUUAGCCCUCGAUCAGGCAGGUGACCCCAGCUCCCGUGGCAGCCCCUCUCCCUCGGCUGUGACCCUGACAACUUUCAGGUACCGCCGUUUCCUCCCCGCUUGCUGUGGGCCUGGGUGAUACCUGCCUCCCCUAUCCUGUUGGAGGUGGUUUAGCAAUCCCUUAA
ensembl:lncRNA